rnacentral:snRNA from 1 species
AUUGCUUCUCGGCCUUUUGGCUAAGAUCAAGUGUAGAAUCUUUUAUUUGGUUAGAUGAAUGGGUAGACUCACAAGUGCUCACUGAUAUUUCUAGCUCAUUUAAAAUCACAAAGUGUUUUAAUAUCUUAUAUUUGUUUUCCUCUCUAUGGAAACUUUUA